rnacentral:rRNA from 1 species
AGUGAACGCUGGCGGUAGGCCUAACACAUGCAAGUCGAACGGCAGCACAGUAAGAGCUUGCUCUUACGGGUGGCGAGUGGCGGACGGGUGAGGAAUCCAUCGGAAUCUACUUUUUCGUGGGGGAUAACGUAGGGAAACUUACGCUAAUACCGCAUACGACCUACGGGUGAAAGCAGGGGAUCUUCGGACCUUGCGCGAUUGAAUGAGCCGAUGUCGGAUUAGCUAGUUGGCGGGGUAAAGGCCCACCAAGACGACGAUCCGUAGCUGGUCUGAGAGGAUGAUCAGCCACACUGGAACUGAGACACGGUCCAGACUCCUACGGGAGGCAGCAGUGGGGAAUAUUGGACAAUGGGCGCAAGCCUGAUCCAGCCAUACCGCGUGGGUGAAGAAGGCCUUCGGGUUGUAAAGCCCUUUUGUUGGGAAAGAAAAGCAGCAGGUUAAUACCCCGCUGUUCUGACGGUACCCAAAGAAUAAGCACCGGCUAACUUCGUG